AUGCAUUUGAUAUCAUUUCCCUCUCUCCUGGGUUCGAUCUAUCUGGUUUGUUCGAUGAAAGAUAGCCAAGUAGAGGCGUGGUUUGCUUCCAAACAGCUGCCAGCAACCGUAUUUGUGAAGCUGAAGGAACUAGCCCAACGCAUGAACCAAACAAACCAGCGCAUGAAGCAAACAAAGCUUAAGGAACAGGCACCGGGCAUAUAUGACAGCCAUUGUCACAAGAGAUGGAGUCAGACAGUACAUUAUGUCUGGUUUGUUUGGUUAAAUGCAUCUAAACCGGAGUCAAACAGUACAUUAUUUCUGGCCCAACCGUCUUUGUGA
rnacentral:rRNA from 1 species